rnacentral:rRNA from 1 species
AACGAACGCUGGCGGCGUGCUUAACACAUGCAAGUCGAACGAGAAAGUGGACUUCGGUCCGCGAGUAAAGUGGCAGACGGGUGAGUAACACGUGGGCAAUCUGCCCGAAGGUGGGGGGAUAACUUCCCGAAAGGGUAGCUAAUACCGCAUAACACCUCGAGAUCCUCGGAUCUUGAGAUCAAAGCCUGCCUCUACAUGUAAGCAGGCGCCAUCGGAGGAGCCCGCGCCCCAUUAGCUUGUUGGUGAGGUAACGGCUCACCAAGGCUACGAUGGGUAGCCGGCCUGAGAGGGUGAACGGCCACACUGGAACUGAGACACGGUCCAG